ACCAGUUAGGAGAGAUGAGCAAAGAAGAUGUCACCCACAGGUGGCAUAGUAUCACGCUUGGGGCUUUCUGAAUUAACCCCCAGAUAGUAUCUAGAAGCCACUGACCAGUGGGUUUCAACACUGCAAACCUUGAAGUGAAUGGUAGGCCUUGUGUAACUGAGUGGGAGAGUUUAAAACGUGCUUCCUGGCAAAACUUUGGGUCUGGGGGUUCAGCCUUCCCCGUUACACUGAGGCCAAUUUCACGCACUUUUGUCGCUACACUCUUGUCGACCAACACUUUUCUCAACCGUCAUCCACAAGGGAGGAGAGUAGAGAGAAAGCCGAGGGGAGCUCUGUGGCACAAGCAUUAAUUGGGCACCUUCUGUAUACCGAGCAGCGUGCCCACAGCGGGCCACCCUGAGGAGAGCGGGUGGUGUGGUUUGGCCUUAAGCCCCUCCCUGCCCCCUCUCCCCCUCCCCCGCCCCAGACUCGGGGUUGGCGGCAUUUACUGGGGGGUCAGGAACGAGGCAGACUGGAUUUGCACCUGCACAGCACACGUGCGUUGUGCAGGCAAACACAGCACCCUGCACCUGCCGUCCCCCUCCCAGGGCGCAGCUGGUUAGAGUGACUUCACCCCUCUGAGCGUCCGUCGGAGCUGGGAGAUCGCAACCAGAGUUGUCUUUCCCUUUAAAGAGCUGAGAGCUGGCCUGGCCCUCCCGACAAAGUGUCAUGUUCCAAUACCAAAGCCACUGAUGGGGAAAAAAAAACCACUUCAUGGAAUUAAGUGUCAUCUGCUGUAUUAAUUUAAAUCGAUGGCUUUCAAACUUGUUUUUUCUUUUCGCUACAGAACCCUUGCUUGACACGUGCUCUGACUCAGACACCGAACGCCGGAGGGAGACAAAGCAAGGGAGUGUCCACCCCCAGGUUGGGGGUGGGGGGGGGGAAGCUGGGACCCAGGUUCCCGGCUUCUGUUUCCCUGCCCGCCUGGUGGCCUCUGAGGCAGUUCCCUGGACCCCCGAGAGGGGCUGACAGGCCCACCCUAACCUGGAGCCCCCGGGGUGCCACACGGCCUGUCCCUUCCAGAGCUUUAAGACCACCAGGCACAGGCCCCAGAGGGCUCCCUUGACCCGUUCCCCUGCAGAGGGCACCGGAUCAGCGACCUUGGCCGUCACGGUCAGCAGUUGCAGUAAAUAGGGCACCAGGUUCCCUCAUCCAUGGGAAAGGGCCUGCCUCUGCCACGGCCGCCCCCAUCCUCCCACCUUCCCGCCCGGGAUAGUAAACACUGACGACCUUGGACCCGUCCCAGCUCCGCCUCUGGCCAGCAGUGUCACCCAAAGUGACCCUCACCUGUGUCAUGGGACAAUAACACCCCCUCUGGGGGCCGAUGAGGAUAAGACAAAAUAGCCCAGCUCUGGACUCGGGGGUCCAGAGAGUCUGGAUGUGAGGCCCCACUCUACCCCUUCCUAGCAGCAUACUCUCAAGUGAUUGCACGAAACUCUGAGCCUCAGUUUCCCCAGCUGUUAAAUGGGCAUAAUAACUGUAACUUCUCAGGGGGUUGGGAAGGUCAGACGGGAUGCUGUGAGCAAGGCAUCUGGCACCCAGCGGGGACACGUUUGCUCUGUCCCGGGCCUUCCGUGAGGCUGUGUUGGCACAACAGGUGGGCGGGGAGCUCACUGCCCCCCACAGCAGCUGGCUCCUGAUGCCCAGCCCUGGGCUGGCUCCAGGGAGAGCUAUCUCUGGGAGGAACACAGGACAGCUGGGGGGGCAGGAUGGGGGAGCGCACAGUGACCCAAGCAGCCCUCACACAAGGUCAAGGACACGCAGUCACCCAGACCAAGGUGGAGAGAGGAUUAGCCCUACACUGCCCUCAGGGCUGACCUUCAACACAGCCGGGCUGGAGCCUAGAACCUGAAAUCACCCCACCCGGCCCCUUGACUACCUCCGGCUCACCCAUCCUGGGAUGGUGCGACCCCCAGACCUUCCCACCCCGCCGAGGGGCUCCCAGACCUGGGUCUGGAUUUCUCUCUGGUCAUUGCCCCCGCCGGUGGGACCCGUCCUCCCCCAGUGCUGACGCCCUAAUGCUACACAAACUCUCCCCCAGAGCUCUGCUGCUGGCCUGGAGCUGGGCAGGGGCAGAGGAUCCCCUCGAGCUGAGAAAACCCUGAGUCAGCUGACCCCAUCCCAGUGAACUACCGGAAAGCUUCCUCCUCGGGGUGAAAAGGGAACUUGAGAUGGAGACGAAGUCCAGAGGGAGUGAAAUAAAGAACGUGACUUUUUCCUGCUU